CGGAGGAUCCAAGCGUUGUCCGGAUUUAUUGGGUUUAAAGGGUGCGUAGGCGGAUCUUUAAGUCAGUGGUGAAAGCCUGCAGCUCAACUGUAGAACAGCCAUUGAAACUGAAGAUCUUGAAUGUGGUUAAAGUAGGCGGAAUGUAUCAUGUAGCGGUGAAAUGCUUAGAUAUGAUACAGAACACCGAUAGCGAAGGCAGCUUGCUGAACCAUUAUUGACGCUGAGGCACGAAAGCGUGGGGAGCAAACAGGAUUAGAUACCCUGGUAGUCCACGCCCUAAACGUUGAUUACUCGUUGUUGGCGAUAUACUGUCAGCGUCUAAGCUAAAGCGUUAAGUAAUCCACCUGGAAGUACGACCGCAAGGUUG
rnacentral:rRNA from 1 species